rnacentral:rRNA from 1 species
CGUAGGGUGCGAGCGUUGUCCGGAAUUAUUGGGCGUAAAGGGCUCGUAGGCGGUUUGUUGCGUCGGGAGUGAAAACAUCGGGCUUAACUCGAUGCUUGCUUUCGAUACGGGCAGACUUGAGGUAUGCAGGGGAGAAUGGAAUUCCUGGUGUAGCGGUGAAAUGCGCAGAUAUCAGGAGGAACACCGGUGGCGAAGGCGGUUCUCUGGGCAUUACCUGACGCUGAGGAGCGAAAGUGUGGGGAGCGAACAGGAUUAGAUACCCUGGUAGUCCACACCGUAAACGUUGGGCGCUAGGUGUGGGACCUAUUCCAUGGGUUCCGUGCCGUAGCUAACGCAUUAAGCGCCCCGCCUGGGGAGUACGGCCGCAAGGCUA